UACAGAGGGUGCGAGCGUUAAUCGGAUUUACUGGGCGUAAAGCGUGUGUAGGUGGCUUCCUAAGUCGGGUGUGAAAUCCCGGGGCUCAACCCCGUGACUGCAUCCGAUACUGUCAGGCUAGAGGUAGGUAGGGGAGAUCGGAAUUCCUGGUGUAGCGGUGAAAUGCGCAGAUAUCAGGAGGAACACCGGUGGCGAAGGCGGAUCUCUGGGCCUUACCUGACGCUCAGGCGCGAAAGGCUAGGGGAGCGAACAGG
rnacentral:rRNA from 1 species